GAUGAAGAACGUAGCGAAAUGCGAUAAGUAAUGUGAAUUGCAGAAUUCAGUGAAUCAUCGAAUCUUUGAACGCACAUUGCGCCCGCUAGUAUUCUAGCGGGCAUGCCUGUUCGAGCGUCAUUUCAACCAUCAAGCCCCAGGCUUGUGUUGGAGCCCUGCGGCUGCCGCAGCCUCCCAAAACCAGUGGCGGGCUCGCUAUCACACCGAGUGCAGUAGUUUACUCUUCGCUCAGGGCGUGUGGCGGGUGCUAGCCGUAAAACCCCCAACUUCUCAAGGUUGACCUCGGAUCAGGUAGGAAUACCCGCUGAACUUAAGCAUAUCAAUAAGCGGAGGA
rnacentral:misc_RNA from 1 species